rnacentral:rRNA from 1 species
ACCAUGCAGUCGAGCGGAUGAAGGGAGCUUGCUCCUGGAUUCAGCGGCGGACGGGUGAGUAAUGCCUAGGAAUCUGCCUGGUAGUGGGGGAUAACGUCCGGAAACGGGCGCUAAUACCGCAUACGUCCUGAGGGAGAAAGUGGGGGAUCUUCGGACCUCACGCUAUCAGAUGAGCCUAGGUCGGAUUAGCUAGUUGGUGGGGUAAAGGCCUACCAAGGCGACGAUCCGUAACUGGUCUGAGAGGAUGAUCAGUCACACUGGAACUGAGACACGGUCCAGACUCCUACGGGAGGCAGCAGUGGGGAAUAUUGGACAAUGGGCGAAAGCCUGAUCCAGCCAUGCGCGUGUGUGAAGAAGGUCUUCGGAUUGUAAAGCACUUUAAGUUGGGAGGAAGGGCAGUAAGUUAAUACCUUGCUGUUUUGACGUUACCAACAGAAUAAGCACCGGCUAACUUCGUGCCAGCAGCCGCGGUAAUACGAAGGGUGCAAGCGUUAAUCGGAAUUACUGGGCGUAAAGCGCGCGUAGGUGGUUCAGCAAGUUGGAUGUGAAAUCCCCGGGCUCAACCUGGGAACUGCAUCCAAAACUACUGAGCUAGAGUACGGUAGAGGGUGGUGGAAUUUCCUGUGUAGCGGUGAAAUGCGUAGAUAUAGGAAGGAACACCAGUGGCGAAGGCGACCACCUGGACUGAUACUGACACUGAGGUGCGAAAGCGUGGGGAGCAAACAGGAUUAGAUACCCUGGUAGUCCACGCCGUAAACGAUGUCGACUAGCCGUUGGGAUCCUUGAGAUCUUAGUGGCGCAGCUAACGCGAUAAGUCGACCGCCUGGGGAGUACGGCCGCAAGGUUAAAACUCAAAUGAAUUGACGGGGGCCCGCACAAGCGGUGGAGCAUGUGGUUUAAUUCNAAGCAACGCGAAGAACCUUACCUGGCCUUGACAUGCUGAGAACUUUCCAGAGAUGGAUUGGUGCCUUCGGACUCAG